GCGAAACGGGUGUGCAAGAGCAAGGGUGGCGUCGAGAGGAGAGAGAAAAUCGCAUGAGGGCACAACCCAAUAGGAUAAAAGGGGAAAAAAUAUAUAUAUAACAAAAAUCUACUAUCGAGCCCACUACUUCUGAGCCUGGUGACUCUCACGGAGGUGCCCACCUACGAGCCCAGAAUGUUGGCUCGUAGAUGGAGAUGCUCUAAAGCCCCUUUGCUCAAGAACAUUAUUGUAUCCCUUUUCAGCAUGCGUGGAAAUUAUUAAACUAAUUUGCGAAUAAGAAUAAUUUAGGAUGGAUUUUUCUCAUAUUAUUUGUAUAGAUGGACUCAAUAUCUGUAUAUACCUAACAAACAAUAAUUAACACCGAAAUUUAUAUAACAUAUAUGGCGUGAGUGAAUCCUGCCCUUAUUGGCGUGAUUUUGUUUCGAAGUCUGUUGAUCUAUAGCAUGAUGUACAUCUUAGUUCAACUGUGGAAUUGCAAAAACUAACAUCAACAUCAUAUAUAAACAGCAAAACAAUUUCAAAAUUGCAACAGUUAUGACAUCAUUUAAAUGAUCCUAACACCCUGUAGAUCUUUCCAUGCCUUUCACAACAAAACUCUUAACUCGCAAAAAGACCCCAUCGAGCACCAACAACUAAGGGGAAAACAAAAAUUCAAAACAACGACAGCAGCGUCGUUGGCCCUAGAUAUCGACAGAAGCGUGGUUUCAGCAGUCAUAAUGCAAUAGCAUAGCCAUAUAUGGACCAGAGAAAUACCCAACAAACAACACUAGCUGUUUUAUAACUUGAAUACCUAGUAUCAGGCGUUCAACGAUAACUUUGUAAAGGAUCAGCUGCUUUGCCGGAUCUUGCAUCGGUCCAUGCUUUAGCAAUUGUUCUUUUCAUAUCCUCAUCACCUUCCUCGUACAUGUUCU